AGAGUUUCGGGACUCUUUUGGUGUCCAGUUCCUGUAUGAAACUCGUAUGCUCCCUAACGCGAGCUACGUCACAAGCUAGAGUCUGUGAACGAGCCAGUCUCUCUUCUUCUCAUAGAUGAGCUUGCAGGUCUCACUUGAUCUGACGAAAGUGAUCGAUACCCACGCAAUAUCUAAGCCGUGACAACUGAACUACCGUUGAGCAGCAGUGGUUACAAGUGGCCAAGGGCUGCCUUUAUCUUGGCCUUAUGCAAUACAAUAAGUCAAUGGUCUAUCAUGCACAUGAAGAUAUCUGCCUGCUGUGCAUGCGCAUUGCUAAGCUGUCACUAUUACCUGUGCGUCAUUGUUUUCUAGUGGUGUGAUGGAAGAUAAACGUCCGAAAGCGGUUAACACAAUUUAUACGUGUAAUUUACAAAUCAAACUUAAUCUUUACAAGUUUCUUAUUUACUAAUGGUGAUUCAUAAUCGCAGCCAGCUAGCGGUCUCUUUCGGUCCUAAAACAAACUGACAGCAACACACAAUCCAGAAAAUGGACAUUCACAAAAACUUUUGUAAUAGCUCACAGUUACACAAAUUGACACAAACUAAUGUUCUUCUAUUAGUUGGAAAAUAGCUGUACAGUUGGUCUCAGAGCUUUGUAUGUAUCGCAGAUGCAUGGUUGGCAUGCCAACGUAGAAGUAGACAGACUCGCUUGGUCAAAAUUCUUUGGGAAAGUACCCGAGAAUCUAAACUUAAUUAUAAAUCUAUUUACAUUGGAAAUAUUUAAAUCGUUUUUUUGGGAAAUCGUGUGCACAGGUCUCGUUAUUCCGUAUUUCCCAUUCGUCGACACCGAACCCCAAGUGUGCGUAUCACCUGAUAAUCACGAGAUCGACUUCUCGCCAUCUUUCUCGCUCCUCGUAACAGCGUCUGGCGUCGAAAUUGUCUCAAGACAUCAGAAUGGAAGAUACCAAACCGCUGAUGGUUGAAGCCCCCGAGGCAACACUUGCGUAUAAUGAGCCCCAUCAUGUGACUACUGUCUUUCAAGAUGCUCCUUCCAACUACUUGGCCCUGUCGGUAUGCGCUAGCCUUAUUUGCUUUUGGCCUCUUGGAAUUCCAGCGAUAAUUUGUUCAUUUUUGGCACGUCACAGGUUCGAUCACGGAAAUUAUUAUAGAAGUCGUGAGGCGGCUAAAAUCGCCCGCAUUUUGAGCUUUGUGAGCAUUGCAAUCGGCUCAAUCACCAUAGUUGGAGUGAUCAUCGCCUUGAUUGUUACUGCCUUUCCUCCUAACAACAACUAGUAGCGUCAUACGAUUACUUGAUUGGUUGGGACGUUUUGAGGCUCGGAUAUUACUCUUUCUACUAGUUUUUGUGGCAGUAGUAUGCAGUGUAUAUUGGUAACAUAGCGUUUCCUGUCACAAUUCAUUGUGACAGCAGUUUGGUAGCAUCAA